UACAGGGGGUGCAAACGUUGCUCGGAAUCAUUGGGCGUAAAGCGCACGUAGGCGGUCUGUUAUGUCGGAUGUGAAAGCCCUUGGCUCAACUGAGGAAGUGCAUCCGAAACUGGCAGGCUAGAGUACUAAAGAGGAUCGCGGAAUUCCCGGUGUAGAGGUGAAAUUCGUAGAUAUCGGGAGGAACACCGGUGGCGAAGGCGGCGAUCUGGGUAGAUACUGACGCUGAGGUGCGAAAGCUAGGGGAGCAAACAGG
rnacentral:rRNA from 1 species